UUAUCUUUUGUAAUUGAUGAUUUGGGUUUUUGAUUUGGGAGUUAAAACCCUAAGAUAUAUGUGAUUUAUAUAGAUUCAUGUAUGGAUUUAGCUAUUUUGGGUGUUGAUUUGGUUUGAAACCAAAAGAAGAGAAAAAUAAAAUUUUUCUAGUUUAGAAACUCAAAAUUUCUAUAUACUUUGAAAUUUCACCGUUUUAAAUCUAUGACUUCUUUUUGUGAUCCGUCAAAAAGUAGUGCUAGAUAUAUGUGUUGGCUAGUAAACCCAAGUGGUAGGACUCAAAAAUGUUGAGUUUUCAUGGGGUAGUGACUGAUUAUGUCAAAACAGUCCCGUUUUUCUAACAAAAAAAUGGACAGAUUCGUGGCAGUCAGUAACGAGGCUAAUUUCGUCCAGUUUUUAUGCUUUAAAACUUCUGGGCUUUUGGUAUGUUGUAGUACUCUGAUUUAGCUUUCCAUAGACUCCGGAAAGGACUAAUUCCGAUUCCGGAUGAGGUAGUUAUGGCGUUCGGGAGAUGUGUAUCAAAACUGUUAAUCAAAUUCCGAACAGCCACCUUUGUGUAAAUUUCUGGACUGAUGUGUUAUGAUUUUGGAAAAAUGUCGUGAGACAAAAGUUGUAGCCCUGGAAGUUAUCUUCGCGUGGGCUCAAGAAUCGCUCAAAAAUGUUUUAAAACGCGAGAGUUAUGGCCGUUUUAGCGAGGCUGGGUAAAAUUUUCGAAAAUCAAAAUUGUCCAAAAAUAGGAAAAAUGUGAUUUAUGGCGUGAGACCCUUGAGCAUGGCUUAUGCAAGUUUGUAAUGAAGCUUGGGGUCGGGUUUAAAGUGUUGUAAUGUUUAUAGCAUUUUAGAAUGCUUAAGCAAGUUAUUUAUUAAAAAGGAAAACAAUUGAAAUAAUUGUUUAUUUAUGUGAUUAAUGACUUAAGAUAUUUUUUUAUAUGACUAAUAGUAUUGUAGUGAGAUAUUAUUAGUAGUAUUUGAUUGGAAUGAAAUUAAAAGGUUGAUAACCUUAGCGUAAAAUAUUAUUACAUAAUUAAUAAUAUUUGACGGGAGAUUUAAUAAGAGAUUUAUGAUAUUUUUCAAUGUAAUUGUUGAAAUUGAUAUUCAAUGAAGUAUAUUAUGUGUUUGGGCAAAUGAUAGAGAAAUAAUAAGUCAUAAUAAUCUAAUAAAAUCUUAUGGGGCGUAAUUUGACUAUAAGUAAUAUUUUAUGCCGAGAAACUUUCUUUCAG
rnacentral:lncRNA from 1 species